rnacentral:ncRNA from 2 species
GACUUACGUAGAGGCUGCAUUGCUUAUAAGUACCUGGUGAGAGAGUGACGUCGAAGACCGCCAGCAAAAGGAGGCAGUGCCGAAGUUUGAGAAGAGUCCGCUUCUCAAGUUGGGGUCAUUUCAAAGAGGAAUGACACUGUCAUACAGCGACAAAUGUAUGGAGAGCUACAGUAGCC